UGUCGCAGCGUGCUCAACUUCCACUUGUGGCUGCCAAACAUCUGACGGGGCUCAAAUUUAAAGCUGAUGAGAAAACAAAACAGAUGCCGUGAGCGAGUCACCUGGCUGGUCUGGCCAGCUUUGAUGUUUGGUCCUCGCACCAGGAGAGGAACGCGGAUGUCAAACUCGUACAGCUGCCGCUUGUCCAGAGGGAGAGAAAACUGACCUGCAGGUCGUCCACCGACAGCAACGUCCGCCAUCUGCACCCACAGCGCAGCGUUACACACAGCAGCGCGUCCCUUCGCCGCCAGGAGGGCGGCGGACACAUCGGCGAAGGCGGACCGCUU